AUCCAGCUGCUGAGUCCCAAGUAGGACGAAACGCGCGUCCUGGAU
rnacentral:hammerhead_ribozyme from 1 species